rnacentral:rRNA from 1 species
AUUGAACGCUGGCGGCAUGCUUUACACAUGCAAGUCGAACGAGUGGCGCACGGGUGAGUAAUACAUCGGAACGUGUCCUAUCGUGGGGGAUAACUCAUCGAAAGAUCAGCUAAUACCCCAUACGAUUGGAGCGGCCGAUGCCCGAUUAGCUAGUUGGUGGGGUAAAGGCUCACCAAGGCGACGAUCGGUAUCUGGUCUGAGAGGACGACCAGCCAUAGUGGGACGGAGAGACGGCCCAGGCUCCUACGGGAGGGAGCAGUGGGGGAUAUUGCACAAUGGGCGUAAACCUGAGGCAGGGAAGCCACGUGGGGGAUGAAGGCUUUCGGGUUGUAAACCUCGUACGCUAUCGAACGGGUAGGUGGAGAAGAAGCGCCGGCUAACUACGUGCCAGCAGCCGCGGUAAUAC